rnacentral:rRNA from 1 species
AGAGUUUGAUCCUGGCUCAGGAUGAACGCUGACAGAAUGCUUAACACAUGCAAGUCUACUUGAACUUCGGUUUGGGUGGCGGACGGGUGAGUAACGCGUAAAGAACUUGCCUCACAGUUAGGGACAACAUUUGGAAACGAAUGCUAAUACCUGAUAUUAUGAUUUUAGGGCAUCCUAAGAUUAUGAAAGCUAUAUGCGCUGUGAGAGAGCUUUGCGUCCCAUUAGCUAGUUGGAGAGGUAACGGCUCACCAAGGCGAUGAUGGGUAGCCGGCCUGAGAGGGUGAACGGCCACAAGGGGACUGAGACACGGCCCUUACUCCUACGGGAGGCAGCAGUGGGGAAUAUUGGACAAUGGACCAAAAGUCUGAUCCAGCAAUUCUGUGUGCACGAUGACGUUUUUCGGAAUGUAAAGUGCUUUCAGUUGGGAAGAAAAAAAUGACGGUACCAACAGAAGAAGUGACGGCUAAAUACGUGCCAGCAGCCGCGGUAAUACGUAUGUCACAAGCGUUAUCCGGAUUUAUUGGGCGUAAAGCGCGUCUAGGUGGUUAUGUAAGUCUGAUGUGAAAAUGCAGGGCUCAACUCUGUAUUGCGUUGGAAACUGCAUGACUAGAGUACUGGAGAGGUAAGCGGAACUACAAGUGUAGAGGUGAAAUUCGUAGAUAUUUGUAGGAAUGCCGAUGGGGAAGCCAGCUUACUGGACAGAUACUGACGCUAAAGCGCGAAAGCGUGGGUAGCAAACAGGAUUAGAUACCCUGGUAGUCCACGCCGUAAAC